GAGUACCCGCUGAACUUAAG
rnacentral:rRNA from 1 species